CAUCAACUUCCUGACAUACUGUGAUGCUAAGACCUUCUUCCACAAGUCGAUUGAUGCUUCAGCUUAUGUGCACAACACCUCGUACAUGCUGAAACUUAUGGAGGAUGUGAUUGAUCUGGUAGGAGAGGAGAAUAUCGUGCAGGUCGUCACUGAUAAUGGGCCGCAAUAUAAGGCUGCCGGGCAGGUCUUGAUAGAGCGGCGGCCACAUAUUUUCUGGACCCCAUGUGCUGCACAUUGUAUCGAUCUUAUGUUGAUGGACAUUGAAAAGAUCCGUAGGGUGCAACAAACGGUGGAGACAGCCCAACGCAUUACCAGGUAUAUUUAUAACCAUAACUGGGUCCUUUCAUUGAUGAGAAAGUAUGCAGGGAGAGAGAUUCUGAGAUCAGGAGUCACACGGUUUGCUACCAACUUCAUUGCACUUGAUAGCAUACUCGAGAAGAGAGGAGCCCUACGUCAGAUGUUUGCCAGUUCCGAGUGGUAUGACCGUAUGAUAGUAGAUAUUCUUAUGCCGGCACUGAAGGGAGCAAGAUAGAAGACUUAGUGACGAGACAGCCAUUCUGGCAGCGGGCUACUACAAUAGUCAAAGCUAUCAAACCAUUAUAUGAAGUGCUGCGGGCCGUAGAUAGCGAGAUCUACCCCCAGAUGGAAUUUUUGUAUCACAUGAUGGUCAAGGCAAAGGAUCAGAUUAUGAAGGCAGAUCCAGCACAUGGCCGGUUAUACAUCAACAUCAUUGAGCAACGGUGGGGAGCGCAAAUGGGUACGGAAUUACAUCUAGCAGCAUACUAUCUAAACCCCCGGUUUCAGUACAGCAUAGAUGGAAUUGGUAUGGAUGAAACACUUCUGGAUGCUUUGCGUAAUGUAAUUUACAAGAUGGAG